AUUGAACGCUGGCGGCAUGCCUAACACAUGCAAGUCGAGCGGAGCGGCAGACGGGUGAGUAAUGCCUAGGAAUCUGCCUGGUAGUGGGGGAUAACGUCCGGAAACGGGCGCUAAUACCGCAUACUAUCAGAUGAGCCUAGGUCGGAUUAGCUAGUUGGUGGGGUAAAGGCCUACCAAGGGGACGAUCCGUAACUGGUCUGAGAGGAUGAUCAGUAACACUGGAAGUUAGACACGGUCCAGAAUACUAAGGAAGGGAGCAGUGGGGAAUAGUGGACAAUGGGCGAAAGCCUGAUCCAGCCAUGCCGCGUGUGUGAAGAAGGUUUUCGGAGUGUAAAGCACUUUAAGUUGGGAGGCGUUACCAACAGAAUAAGCACCGGCUAACUUCGUGCCAGCAGCCGCGGUAAUUC
rnacentral:rRNA from 1 species